rnacentral:rRNA from 1 species
GACGAACGCUGGCGGCGUGCCUAAUACAUGCAGGUAGAACGCACAGUUUAUACCGUAGCUUGCUACACCAUAAACUGUGAGUUGCGAACGGGUGAGUAACGCGUAGGUAACCUGCCUGGUAGCGGGGGAUAACUAUUGGAAACGAUAGCUAAUACCGCAUAAUAUUAAUUAUUGCAUGAUAAUUGAUUGAAAGAUGCAAUUGCAUCACUACCAGAUGGACCUGCGUUGUAUUAGCUAGUAGGUGAGGUAACGGCUCACCUAGGCGACGAUACAUAGCCGACCUGAGAGGGUGAUCGGCCACACUGGGACUGAGACACGGCCCAGACUCCUACGGGAGGCAGCAGUAGGGAAUCUUCGGCAAUGGAAGAAAGUCUGACCGAGCAACGCCGCGUGAGUGAAGAAGGUUUUCGGAUCGUAAAGCUCUGUUGUAAGAGAAGAACGGGUGUGAGAGUGGAAAGUUCACACUGUGACGGUAUCUUACCAGAAAGGGACGGCUAACUACGUG